UACGUAGGUGGCAAGCGUUGUCCGGAUUUAUUGGGCUUAAAGGGUGCGUAGGCGGCUUUGUAAGUCAGUGGUGAAAUACGGUAGCUCAACUAUCGAGGUGCCAUUGAUACUGCGGAGCUUGAGUACAGAUGAGGUAGGCGGAAUUGACGGUGUAGCGGUGAAAUGCUUAGAUAUCGUCAAGAACACCUAUAGCGAAGGCAGCUUACUAGGCUGUAACUGACGCUGAGGCACGAAAGUGUGGGGAUCAAACAGG
rnacentral:rRNA from 1 species